rnacentral:tRNA from 1 species
GGAGGAAUACUCAAGGGGUUGAAGAGGCGUCCCUGCUAAGGACGUAGGGCUGUUACAGGCCGCCUGGGUUCAAAUCCCAGUUCCUCCGCCA